UUUAACAGGCGGUUUGUGGAAUUCCUAACUCGCACCACUGGUUCCGCCCAGGCUGGUUGCCAAGCCCCUGAUGCCUGGGGCUUUCUUACCUCUAAAUGGCCCACAUCUGACUUCUCUCCUGGGUACAGCAGAAAAUUCAACUGAGAUAGCAGGAAGCAUCGCACAUGGACUGCUCUCCUGCCAUCCUACCAUUGUUAAAGCAGGGGCAUCAGAAGCCAAGAACUCCUUGGGUUUUCCAUGAUGAUCAGCUAGCUGCACGGUGGCUAGUGGCACCGUGGCUAGCUGCAUGGUGGCUAGUUGCACCGUGGCUAGUGGCCUUAUGCCUAGCUGCACUGUGGAUAGCUGUACCGUGACUAGUGGCACCGUGGCUAGCUGCACUGUGGGUAGCUGCACCGUGGCUAGUGGCACCGUGGCUAGCUGCAUCUUGGCUAGCUGCACCGUGGCCUGCAGUGCGGGCAUGAGGCUCACACUGCCAAUGGCCGUAUGUUCUGCUUCCACACUGUUGUCCUUGUCCCCUGCAGGUGUCGGCACAUCUGAAGCUUCAGGAGAAGGAUGAAGGCAGAAGGGAAAUGGUCAAGGAGAUACUGACAGCGCUGGGCUUGCUGUCUUGCGCCAACACGCGGACCGGGAGCCUGUCAGGUGGUCAGCGCAAGCGCCUGGCCAUCGCGCUGGAGCUGGUGAACAACCCUCCAGUCAUGUUCUUCGAUGAGCCCACCAGCGGCCUGGACAGCGCCUCCUGCUUCCAGGUGGUCUCGCUGAUGAAAGGGCUCGCUCAAGGGGGUCGCUCCAUCAUUUGCACCAUCCACCAGCCCAGCGCCAAACUCUUCGAGCUGUUCGACAAGCUUUACGUCCUGAGUCAAGGACAAUGUGUGUACCGGGGAAAAGUCUGCAAUCUUGUGCCAUAUUUGAGGGAUUUGGGUCUGAACUGCCCAACCUACCACAACCCAGCAGAUUUUGUCAUGGAGGUUGCAUCCGGCGAGUACGGUGAUCAGAACAGUCGGCUGGUGAGAGCAGUUCGGGAGGGCAUGUGUGACUCAGACCACAAGAGAGACCUCGGGGGUGAUGCCGAGGUGAACCCUUUUCUUUGGCACCGGCCCUCUGAAGAGGUAAAGCAGACAAAACGAUUAAAGGGGUUGAGAAAGGACUCCUCGUCCAUGGAAGGCUGCCACAGCUUCUCUGCCAGCUGCCUCACGCAGUUCUGCAUCCUCUUCAAGAGGACCUUCCUCAGCAUCAUGAGGGACUCGGUCCUGACACACCUGCGCAUCACCUCGCACAUUGGGAUCGGCCUCCUCAUUGGCCUGCUGUACUUGGGGAUCGGGAACGAAGCCAAGAAGGUCUUGAGCAACUCCGGCUUCCUCUUCUUCUCCAUGCUGUUCCUCAUGUUCGCGGCCCUCAUGCCCACUGUUCUGACAUUUCCCCUGGAGAUGGGAGUCUUUCUUCGGGAACACCUGAACUACUGGUACAGCCUGAAGGCCUACUACCUGGCCAAGACCAUGGCGGACGUGCCCUUUCAGAUCAUGUUCCCAGUGGCCUACUGCAGCAUCGUGUACUGGAUGACGUCGCAGCCGUCCGACGCCGUGCGCUUUGUGCUGUUUGCCGCGCUGGGCACCAUGACCUCCCUGGUGGCACAGUCCCUGGGCCUGCUGAUCGGAGCCGCCUCCACGUCCCUGCAGGUGGCCACUUUCGUGGGCCCAGUGACAGCCAUCCCGGUGCUCCUGUUCUCGGGGUUCUUCGUCAGCUUCGACACCAUCCCCACGUACCUACAGUGGAUGUCCUACAUCUCCUAUGUCAGGUAUGGGUUCGAAGGGGUCAUCCUCUCCAUCUAUGGCUUAGACCGGGAAGAUCUGCACUGUGACAUCGACGAGACGUGCCACUUCCAGAAGUCAGAGGCCAUCCUGCGGGAGCUGGACGUGGAAAAUGCCAAGCUGUACCUGGACUUCAUCGUACUCGGGAUUUUCUUCAUCUCCCUCCGCCUCAUUGCCUAUUUUGUCCUCAGGUACAAAAUCCGGGCAGAGAGGUAAAACACCUGAAUGCCAGGAAACAGGAAGACUAGACACUGUGGCCCAGGGCACGUCUAGAAUCGAGGAGGCAAGCCUGUGCCCGACCGACGACGCAGAGACUCUUCUGAUCCAACCCCUAGAACCGCGUUGGGUUUGUGGGGGUCGUCUCGUGCUCAGCCGCUCCGCCCAGCUGGGUUGGAUCUUCUCUCCAUUCCCCUUUCUAGCUUUAACUAGGAAGAUGUAGGCAGAUUGGUGGUUUUUUUUUUUUUUUUUAACAUACAGAAUUUUAAAUACCACAACUGGGGCAGAAUUUAAAGCUGCAACACAGCUGGUGAUGAGAGGCUUCCUCAGUCCAGUCGCUCCUUAGCACCAGGCACCGUGGGUCCUGGAUGGGGAACUGCAAGCAGCCUCUCAGCUGAUGGCUGCACAGUCGGAUGUCUGGUGGCAGAGAGUCCGAGCAUGGAGCGAUUCCAUUUUAUGACUGUUGUUUUUCACAUUUUCAUCUUUCUAAGGUGUGUCUCUUUUCCAAUGAGAAGUCAUUUUUGCAAGCCAAAAGUCGAUCGAUCGCAUUCAUUUUAAGAAAUUAUACCUUUUUAGUACUUGCUGAAGAAUGAUUCAGGGUAAAUCACGUACUUUGUUUAGAGAGGCGAGGGGUUUAACCGAGUCACCCAGCUGGUCUCAUACAUAGACAGCACUUGUGAAGGAUUGAAUGCAGGUUCCAGGUGGAGGGAAGACGUGGACACCAUCUCCACUGAGCCAUGCAGACAUUUUUAAAAGCUAUACAAAAAAUUGUGAGAAGACAUUGGCCAACUCUUUCAAAGUCUUUCUUUUUCCAUGUGCUUCUUAUUUUAAGCGAAAUAUAUUGUUUGUUUCUUCCUAA
rnacentral:sRNA from 1 species